CUCGAUACCGUGUAAAACAUAUUCCGUGUACAUGCACGUGUCGCUCGCAUACGCUUGUAAAACCUCUAAGGACUUAUCUGUAGGUAGGAGGGUGAUUGGAAGAGAGAACGACCGAUUCGCAGAUAUACGUACUCCGAGAGGAAUUGGAAUCCGUUUUAUCGCACAUUGGUCAAUGCCCGAUAAGGAGAAAGAGAGAGAGAGAGAGAGAGAGAAAGAGAGAGAAGAAGAAGAAAAAAAGUGAAAAAACCCUCUUCAAAUUCGAUCAGCAUUCGUAACGGAUUGACGUAAUUACACGGAUUGAAUAAACUUUGGCAAAUUUUAGCGAACAGACGGGCGGUUAUCAGCGUUAUAUAUGUAUACACACAUAUAUCCGUCCGUCGAAUCGCAAAAAGUGGAUGAAGU
rnacentral:misc_RNA from 1 species